rnacentral:tRNA from 1 species
AGCCCUAUCGCCAAACGGUAAGGCAGUGGGUUUUGAUCCCACGACUACAGGUUCGAAUCCUGUUAGGGCUG